rnacentral:siRNA from 1 species
UGGAUGCGGUUUUGGUUACCAUUC